GACGAACGCCGGCGGCGCGCUCAACACAUCGCAAGUCGAAACGAGAAAUCACCGGAAGGAGCUUUCGGAACAACGGAAGGCGAGGACAGCGGCGGAACGGGUCGAGUAACGCGUCGAGGAAACUCCGCCCUUUUCAGAGGGGGACAACAGUUCGGAAACGACUGCUAAUACCGCAUGACACAUAGAGAUUCGCAUGGUUUUUAUGUCAAAGAUUUAUCGCUGAAAGAUGGCCUCGCGUCUGAUUAGCUAGUUGGUGAGGUAACGGCCCACCAAGGCGACGAUUCAGUAGCCGGACUGAGAGGUUGACCGGCCACAUUGGGACUGAGAUACGGCCCAGACUCCUACGGGAGGCAGCAGUGGGGAAUAUUGGGCAAUGGGCGCAAGCCUGACCCAGCAACGCCGCGUGAAGGAAGAAGGCUUUCGGGUUGUAAACUUCUUUUGUCGGGGACGAGUAGAAGACGGUACCUGGCGAAUAAGCCACGGCUAACUACGUGCCAGCAGCCGCGGUAAUACGUAGGUGGCAAGCGUUGUCCGGAUUUACUGGGUGUAAAGGGCGUGUAGCCGGGAAGGCAAGUCAGAUGUGAAAUCCACGGGCUUAACUCGUGAACUGCAUUUGAAACUACUUUUCUUGAGUAUCGGAGAGGCAAUCGGAAUUCCUAGUGUAGCGGUGAAAUGCGUAGAUAUUAGGAGGAACACCAGUGGCGAAGGCGGAUUGCUGGACGACAACUGACGGUGAGGCGCGAAAGCGUGGGGAGCAAACAGGAUUAGAUACCCUGGUAGUCCACGCUGUAAACGAUGAAUACUAGGUGUGCGGGGACUGACCCCCUGCGUGCCGCAGUUAACACAAUAAGUAUUCCACCUGGGGAGUACGAUCGCAAGGUUGAAACUCAAAGGAAUUGACGGGGGCCCGCACAAGCGGUGGAUUAUGUGGUUUAAUUCGACGCAACGCGAAGAACCUUACCAGGGCUUGACAUCCUACUAACGAAGUAGAGAUACAUCAGGUGCCCUUCGGGGAAAGUAGAGACAGGUGGUGCAUGGUUGUCGUCAGCUCGUGUCGUGAGAUGUUGGGUUAAGUCCCGCAACGAGCGCAACCCCUAUUGUUAGUUGCUACGCAAGAGCACUCUAGCGAGACUGCCGUUGACAAAACGGAGGAAGGUGGGGACGACGUCAAAUCAUCAUGCCCCUUAUGUCCUGGGCUACACACGUAAUACAAUGGCGGUCAACAGAGGGAUGCAAAGCCGUAAGGUGGAGCGAACCCCUAAAAGUCGUCUCAGUUCAGAUUGUGGGCUGCAACCCGCCCACAUGAAGUUCGGAAUCGCUAGUAAUCGCGGAUCAGCUUGCCGCGGUGAAAUACGUUUCCCGGGCCG
rnacentral:rRNA from 1 species